GGCGAACGGGUGAGUAACACGUGAGUAACCUGCCCCUGACUCUGGGAUAAGCCUGGGAAACUGGGUCUAAUACCGGAUAUGACUGCGGAACGCAUGUUCUGUGGUGGAAAGAUUUAUCGGUUGGGGAUGGACUCGCGGCCUAUCAGCUUGUUGGUGAGGUAAUGGCUCACCAAGGCGACGACGGGUAGCCGGCCUGAGAGGGUGACCGGCCACACUGGGACUGAGACACGGCCCAGACUCCUACGGGAGGCAGCAGUGGGGAAUAUUGCACAAUGGGCGAAAGCCUGAUGCAGCGACGCCGCGUGAGGGAUGACGGCCUUCGGGUUGUAAACCUCUUUCAGUAGGGAAGAAGCGAGAGUGACGGUACCUGCAGAAGAAGCGCCGGCUAACUACGUGCCAGCAGCCGCGGUAAUACGUAGGGCGCAAGCGUUAUCCGGAUUUAUUGGGCGUAAAGAGCUCGUAGGCGGUUUGUCGCGUCUGCCGUGAAAGUCCGAGGCUCAACCUCGGAUCUGCGGUGGGUACGGGCAGACUAGAGUGAUGUAGGGGAGACUGGAAUUCCUGGUGUAGCGGUGAAAUGCGCAGAUAUCAGGAGGAACACCGAUGGCGAAGGCAGGUCUCUGGGCAUUUACUGACGCUGAGGAGCGAAAGCAUGGGGAGCGAACAGGAUUAGAUACCCUGGUAGUCCAUGCCGUAAACGUUGGGCACUAGGUGUGGGGGACAUUCCACGUUUUCCGCGCCGUAGCUAACGCAUUAAGUGCCCCGCCUGGGGAGUACGGCCGCAAGGCUAAAACUCAAAGGAAUUGACGGGGGCCCGCACAAGCGGCGGAGCAUGCGGAUUAAUUCGAUGCAACGCGAAGAACCUUACCAAGGCUUGACAUGUUCCAGACCGGGCUAGAGAUAGUCCUUCCCUUCGGGGCUGGUUCACAGGUGGUGCAUGGUUGUCGUCAGCUCGUGUCGUGAGAUGUUGGGUUAAGUCCCGCAACGAGCGCAACCCUCGUUCCAUGUUGCCAGCACGUAGUGGUGGGGACUCAUGGGAGACUGCCGGGGUCAACUCGGAGGAAGGUGGGGAGGACGUCAAAUCAUCAUGCCCCCUAUGUCUUGGGGUUCACGCAUGCUACAAUGGCCGGUACAAUGGGUUGCGAUACUGUGAGGUGGAGCUAAUCCCUAAAAACCGGUCUCAGUUCGGAUUGGGGUGUGCAACUCGACCCCAUGAAGUCGGAGUCGCUAGUAAUCGCAGAUCAGCAACGCUGCGGUGAAUACGUUCCCGGGCCUUGUACACCCCGCCCGUCAAGUCACGAAAGUUGGUAACACCCCGCCC
rnacentral:rRNA from 1 species